rnacentral:rRNA from 1 species
UACGUAGGGUGCAAGCGUUGUCCGGAAUUAUUGGGCGUAAAGAGCUCGUAGGCGGUUUGUCGCGUCUGCUGUGAAAACUCGGGGCUUAACCCCGGGCCUGCAGUGGGUACGGGCAGACUAGAGUGCGGUAGGGGAGACUGGAAUUCCCGGUGUAGCGGUGGAAUGCGUAGAGAUCGGGAAGAACAUCAGUGGCGAAGGCGGUCUGCUGGGCCGUUGCUGACGCUGAGGCGCGACAGCGUGGGGAGCAAACAGG